UCCCAUUUGCUUUAGUAAAGUCUCAGUUGUGGAAGAUUAACUUUGGAAUUCACCCAUGAGUUCAUACUGGAAAGCUUAAUGUAAUCUUUUUUUUUUUUUUUUCUAUAGAGACUAGAAAGUAAAAGAAUGGUGACACAGGAAACCACUCACUCCCCAUCACUGAAGACAAGAUAUUGGUGAUGUCCAGUGUGGCAGAGGUGUGAUGACAGAGACAAACUGUUUUCAGAGGAAUCAAGAUGCUGUGGACAGUGUGGCCCAGAACUUGUUCCGGUACACCCCUGCAAGUAUGACCUGGAGUUAAAUAAAACUCAGAAAGGCUGUGAAAACCAGGAUCAUUACCAGGGGACUGGGCUUUUGGGCUCACUGCUAUUGGUUAACUGGAACAGGGGAUGUCUCAUGCCUGGAGAUUAAAAGGUAUCAGUGGAGAAGCAUUGUACCCACUCCUUGAAGACAAAUCAAUACUCAUUCUUGCGUGAUGGAGUUGCAAGCACCUCAAAGCUUCUCGUAGGAGAGCCUUGUCCAGUGUGGGGUCACCCCCUCCCUGAAGCAGUGCCUAGCAGUCGUGCAUAGCCCCAUGGCUUCUCCAAAGUA